rnacentral:lncRNA from 1 species
GGAAAAGCAUGUGCUUGGAGGAAUUUGGGAUGGCCUGAGCUCAGGUUGGGUAGGAGAAGCAUGGAGAGAGGAGGCAAAGGGAAGGUCACAAAGGAGGGAGCCAGAAAGGGCUCAGAAGGCGUUUGGCAUAGGAGGCUCAUUCUGAAAUUGAACCAAGUGGAAAAACACAAAGCCCUUCAGAUGUGUCCAGCUUUGUAGCAUUAAAUUCGGAUGGAGCAUGUGACGGGGUGGGGGUGGUUUCAUAAUAUAGUGAGUGGAACCUUUUAGCUUCAGUAAGUGAGUCUGAUUCAGGAAUGCAGGCGAUUGUAUCUCCAAAAAAAUCAAUAUUAAGAUGCACAAUUAUUCCCCUGGUAUUGAAAGAAUUAGUUGAUCUACAUGCUAAAUGACAAGCCUCUUGAUAACAGGGAUUAUGUGACCUGCCUUUCCAGCCAGAGCUGCUAGAGACGGUCCUUUAGGUCCCUAAGGCAGAGAUAAUCUAAUUAGAACAACAAAGACCAGGUCCAUUUGAGGAGAAGGCAACCGUGGGGGUGGGCGGGGGUCGGGAGGUGAUGGUGGGUGUGCAGGGAGCCCUGCGGGGUCUGUGAUGGCUGGGAGGGGCUUGUACAGAGCAACAGCAAGUAGGUGGGGAGUUGCUAGGGGGUGAGGCCGGAGGGGAAGGGACGCCUGCAGAAAGGGGUGGACAGAGGUCACCUCUAAAACAUGACUUAAUCUCCACUUUGGCUCCACAAACACUGCCCCGCUGGCUCCCAGACUGCGGCCAGACUUGACAGGAUGAGUGAGCAGGGCUCCAGACAUUCAGACACGCAGAGGUCUUACUAGCCCGCCACCGCCACCGCCGCCGCCGCCACCACCGCCACCGCCACCGCCACCGUCACCGCCACCGCCAUCACCACCGCCACCACCACCACCACCACCAGAGAGAAAUAAGAGGCCUGGGAGACAUACGUGGGCCACUCCAACCCCAAUCUUCUCACUCCUCUGGGAAUUCCCCACCAUCUAAAGACCAAAAGACCAGAGUCUGAUGGAAUUUCCACCUGUCCAUAGCAAGACAAGAAAAAUAUAGACAUGGGCUACAUUUUCACAAAGCUCAAUAUCUUUUAUUAAAAGAUCUGUCCUCUCUUCUGAUAUUAUGUCCUUCUUAUGUUUUUGGUGGUAAAGAUUCCCUUUUAAAAGAUGGAUAAUGGGGAUUUUUCUUCUGAUUGUUUUGGUGUUUUUUUGUUUGUUUGUUUUGUUUUUGUAAUGUUCUUACCUGGUACAAUAAAAAGCUUCUGUUGAUUCCAAAAACAAUU